rnacentral:rRNA from 1 species
UGGCUCAGGAUGAACGCUGGCGGCGUGCUUAACACAUGCAAGUCGAACGGAGUUAUCGAUUGAAACCUAGUGAUUUGAUAACGUUAGUGGCGGACGGGUGAGUAACGCGUGGGUAACCUGCCUUAGUACAGGGGGAUAACAGUCGGAAACGACUGCUAAUACCGCAUAAGCGCACGGAAUCGCAUGAUUCAGUGUGAAAAGAUUUAUCGGUAUAAGAUGGACCCCGCGUCUGAUUAGCUAGUUGGUGAGGUAACGGCCCACCAAGGCGACGAUCAGUAGCCGGCCUGAGAGGGUGAACGGCCACAUUGGGACUGAGACACGGCCCAAACUCCUACGGGAGGCAGCAGUGGGGAAUAUUGCACAAUGGGGGAAACCCUGAUGCAGCGACGCCGCGUGAGUGAAGAAGUAUUUCGGUAUGUAAAGCUCUAUCAGCAGGGAAGAAAAUGACGGUACCUGACUAAGAAGCCCCGGCUAACUACGUGCCAGCCGCCGC